UACGGAGGAUGCAAGCGUUAUCCGGAAUUAUUGGGCGUAAAGCGUCCGCAAGUGGCACUUCAAGUCUGUCGUCAAAGACCGGGGCUUAACCCUGGAAAGGCGAUGGAAACUGAAAGGCUAGAGAGAGGUAGGGGUAGAGGGAAUUCCCAGUGUAGCGGUGAAAUGCGUAGAGAUUGGGAAGAACAUCGGUGGCGAAAGCGCUCUACUGGACUGCAACUGACACUCAGGGACGAAAGCUAGGGGAGCGAAUGGG
rnacentral:rRNA from 1 species